ensembl:lncRNA Dnaaf10 dynein axonemal assembly factor 10
UUCUUUCUUUUUUUUUUUUUUUUUUUUUUUUUGGAGCUGGGGACCGAACCCAGGGGCCUAGCGCUCUACCACUGAGCUAAAUCCCCAACCCCUUGAAACAACAUUUUAAUACAGUCUGUCCAGCCUUGUCUCUUAAGUUGUGCUUUCUGUCAGUAGAAAGCAGUAAUGAUGAUCCAGGUGAUCUGGGAGGUGUUGGAUAGGUAGAUCAUUUGAUCCAGGUGGUCUGGGAGGUGUUUGGAUAGGUGGAUCAUUUGAUCCAGGUGAUCUGGGAGGUGUUUGGAUAGGUGGAUCAUUUGAUCCAGGUGAUCUGGGAGGUGUUUGGAUAGGUGGAUCAUUUGAUCCAGGUGAUCUGGGAGGUGUUUGGAUAGGUAGAUCAUUUGAUCCAGGUGAUCUGGGAGGUGUUUGGAUAGGUAGAUCAUUUGAUCCAGGUGAUCUGGGAGGUGUUGGAUAGGUGGAUCAUUUGAUCCAGGUGAUCUGGGAGGUGUUUGGAUAGGUAGAUCAUUUGAUCCAGGUGAUCUGGGAGGUGUUUGGAUAGAUGGAUAUUUGAUCCUCGAACCUUUGCCCUUUACUUUUCCAUGGUUCUAGUCCAGUCUCGCUGCAGUUUAGGCUUUGCCAGGCUCAUUAGCUAAGCUGUGCCUACUCCUCGACUCCCUCUUGAGACUGCUAAAGGAAGCAAGUACCAGUUUUCCACAUGUGGGUGGAGUGGCGGCUGGAUUUUUUUUUUACCUUUAUGUUAAUAAGUCUGGAUCUAUAUGCACUUGGAAAUUUGGAGUUUAUUUCUUGGCUUUUUCCCUCAAGAUUAACCACUGUACCCCGUGUGCUGACCCAAAGCCGACAUCCGGUGUCUUUCUUGAUCACUGUCCACUUCAUUUGUUGAGCCGGGAACCCCCUGGUUAUGGCUGGGCUAUGUGAAUGGGUGCAGCAGGGCUGACUCUCCCUCUCUGUCUGCCUGCCAAGGAGUAAGAAAGAUCACGGGCAGCCCCGAGGCAGCCUGGUGUUUACAUGGGUACAGCCAAGCUGUGAGAUUCACAGGGCGCCUUCCAGGCAUUCCGAGAGGAUGCAGACUUUAACAACACACAAACAGAAAAAUCUUACGUAGAUAAUGUGGAGAGGAUAGAACCAUUACUUAUGUUCUUGUUGUUAUUGUUCUGGGUUUUUGAGGUGGGGUCUCACUAUGUAGCCCUGGCUGGCCAGCAACUGUUAAACAGACGAGGCUGGCCUCAAGGUAGUGGAGCCUCUUGGGUGCUGGGAUUAAAGGUGUGCACAGCCAUACAUGGACUUUAUGUUUUAAUGCUAAAGAACUGCAAACUCUGCUAAGAGAUGUGAGGAGGGUAUCAGACGUGCCACUGCACGAGAGAGACAGACAGACAGACAGACAUAGUGUGUGAACAUUUUAUUCCUUUUAAGUAAAAUAGUAUGUUGGCUGUACAAGGAAGAGAACGUGUUUACUACCUGUGGUUUCUCCUCCAUUUCUACUGUGUCGGAUUGCUUUGUGCCUCUUAGCCUCUGGGUCUGGAUACCAUUUUGUUCUUGGAUGGCUGCAGGGUUUUGGCAUUGGCAGUGUCGGUUCUGAGCUGCCCUGUGAGGAGGUGUUUCUUAGAGCCUUAGAGAAGGUUGUUUCUUUCUUCCCACCUUUCAGAUCUACACCAGUUAUUAUUUAGGUCUUUGGGUCUUUGCGUGAGCUUUCCCUCUUCUUGCCUUAAAAUAUUAUAAUUUUAGCCGGAAAAAAAAAAAAAAAACCAGAUAUUCUUAGCAUUGUUUUCUCCACUGUGAAAGCACUAGUUUUUAAAACGUCUCCGCAGUGGCAUUCCCAGGGUGAUAGUACAGAGGUCCUCAGGCUAGGUCUGAAUGGCGGACUCUGCAGUGGGGUGUGGUACCAAUUCUUUUGUGGAUGUGUUAAAUGGGCUUUCGUAAAUGUCACUUAUAGCCUUUUCUGUUGUACACACCUUGCCCAUGGUGUCUAGCCAUCCAAAUUUAGGAAAGAACUACCACAAAAGAUUAUGGAGAGCCCCAAAUCAGACCACCCUAUAGCAUUCAUAUUAAAAAAGUACAGGCAGAUGCUGAAUCGAGAUGCCGUGUAGUUUGCAGGAAAAGUCACCAUUGCCUGAGGUGUGUCGGUCUAGGGCUGAGCACGAAAUCCUGCCUUUACUCGUGUAAGGUCAGUGUUGGAAGGCCCUGAGCGCUGCUUCAGUAAUCAGCUGAGGUAAAGUCACUGGAGCUUACACAGAAGAACACCACAGUGCAUGCCACGCUCGCUCUCACCACUCUGCCUCUUGUUUCUAGUGAAUACCCUGCUCAUCGGUCAAAGAAGGACUCGGAGGGCCUAGAGAUGGGAGUCGCGGGUUCCGUCAGCCUUCUGCAGAACGUGACCGUGUCUACUCAGCCCAUCUCCAGUUUGGACUGGAGUCCUGACAAAAGGGGGCUCUGCAUCUGUAGUUCCUUUGACCAGAUGGUGCGCGUGCUGAUAGUUACAAAACUCCAGACCAUUUGACCCAAGGCUUGAACGUGAAACUGUCCAGAGGGUUACUCAGAGAAUUCAGCUCUGUGUCCUCUGGCCUUAUUGAACACGGUUGGAUUUGAGGGAUGAAUGACAGCCACAGGUACACAGCCAGCCAGCCAGCCUCUAGUGUCUUUGGGUGUUUGGUGACCUGACGGGCACGCUGCUGCAUGUGAUGGUGCCACACACCAGGACCUGCUUUGUGCCUUUCCCCAUGUUUCUGUUCAAACAAUUAGAACCAGAGCUGUGGUAUUUGCUUGUGGAGCCAGCUACUUAACUGAGGCAGGAGGAUUAAGAUAGCCCAUAAGAUCAAGACUAGCUUGGGUAACAUUAUGAGACCCUGCCUUUAAAACCAGUUGGAUGCUGGCACUGAAGAGACAGCUCCCUGAGAAGGCUUGCCUGAUGCUCUUGCCGAGGACAAGUUUGGUUCCCAGGAGCCACAUCAGGUGGCUUACAACCCCUGUCACUGCAGUUGAGGGCGCCUCAGACCAUUUUCUGGCCGUAUUGAGCACUGGGACUCACAGAUACAGGCACAUUCUUAGACAUUUAUUUUAAAAAAUGUAUUUAAAUUUAAAAAAUAUUUUUAAAAGCCAAAGUGAGUAGUUGUUAUUUAAGUGUAUUUUAAGUUUGUUCUGUAUCUCCAUAGCUCCAUGGUUUCUCUGUACAUUCGUGCUUCGUUUUAGUGUUUCCACUAGGAGUCACUUCACUUGCUCUGUAAGUACCAGAAGCGCACAGUUGGCUGGACAGCCUGGAGAGCUGUUUUCAGCGUAGCUGGUAAUACUGUGACUUCCCGUCUCUCUUACUCAGAUUCAGGCCUUGGCUGUCUCUUGACUGUGGUAAGUGAUGAUGAGCGUUGAAGAUUGGAGUGAUUUUUUUUUUUAAAGCUUUUUGUUAAACCUUUAAAAUAUAUUUUUAAAAUAAACAGGUUUUUUAAAUAUGUGG